AGCAUUUAGGUUAAAAAGUUGUAUCCUGCAUGCGCUAACUCCCCGCAAGGAAGAGCGGAGUACGGGUGAGGAACGCGUGGACAACGGACUUUUUGCUACGGAAUAACUCAGGGAAAGUUGUGAUAAGACCGUAUGGGCCCUUCGGGGGAAAGAUUUAUAGGCAACGGAUCCUUCCACGAUGCAUUAGCUAGUUGGCGGGGCUAAGGCUCACUGAGGCAACGAUCCUUACCGGGCUUGAGAGGAUGAUCCAUGGCACUGGGUCUGAGUCACGGCCCAAACCCCUAUUGAUGUCAACAGCGUUUUUUAUUGGCCUAUGGGGGAAAGUCUGAUCCAGCCCUGCCGCGUGAGUGAUGAAGGCCCAAGGGUUGUAAAGCUCUUUCACCCCUGAAGAUAAUGACCUACCCCGGAGUUUAUGUUUCGACGAAAUUGUCUUUAUCUGCCGCAAUUCUAUCAAUGUGGCGCGCGACGUACGCUUUUACUGGCUUAAAAGGGCACGGAGGCGGGUUCUUAUGGUUGGGUGCUGUUCGGGGCUCAACCCCGGAGACCCCUUUGAUUAGGACCCUUGAUCUGAUAAUGUGAGUGGAAUUCCCAGUGAAAAGGCUAAUUUCGCACAUCUUCAAAGGACCGCCAAGGUUGCACGUUUCGCCCUGGGUCAUUAUUGACAAUAAGCUGCGACAGAUCGACCUUCAUACAGUAUUGCAUACCUUGGUAGCAAACGCCUCAAAUGAUGCAUGUUCCCCUUUGGCAAUUUUACUCUACUUCACCAUCUAUCGCGCUCACACCUUCACGACUGGCUAGUAAGUCCGCCAGAUAAACCUCCAUGAUAUCCGACAGAUACCCGCUUCAUUCUUCAUGAGCAAGUUUGUCUAAUUCCGAGUAUCCGCUCACAAACAUCCUGAUGAUCUUGCUCCUGCAGCACCUGACUCAGAGCUGUCCAUCUGUCAUCCCCGUAUGAACCCUGAAACUAACGAAUGCCAUGUUUAGCCCUGAAU
rnacentral:rRNA from 1 species